rnacentral:tRNA from 1 species
GCAAGUAUUUUAGCAAUCAAAACAGAGGACUGAAAAUCCUCGUGUCACCGGUUCAAGUCCGGUUCCUGGCA